AAGGAAGAAGCUACAAUUAGCAAUUAGUUGUUACCUAAUAGAUAGUGAGUAUUUCACCUGCCUUA
rnacentral:tRNA from 1 species